CCUAUAUCCCGGUUUAGGCAGAUGUAGGCGACAGGUAGGCAAAUCCGCCUGUCAUAUACCGAGGCUGCCGAUCGAGCGAGCUUGCUCGCGAAGUGAUUGAACGAGGUUCCAGGAAAAGCCACUAAGCUUCAGCUACACACGACCGUACCGCAAACCGACACUGGUGCGCGAGAUGAGUAUUCUAAGGCGCUUGAGAGAACUCGGGAGAAGGAACUCGGCAAAUUGACACCGUAACUUCGGAAGAAGGUGUGCCCUAUUAGUGUGAAGUGAACAACGGAGCAUGAAUGGGUUGCAAAAAAUCGGUGGCUGCGACUGUUUAUUAAAAACACAGCACUCUGCAAACACGAAAGUGGACGUAUAGGGUGUGACGCCUGCCCGGUGCUGGAAGAUUAAAUGAUGGGGUGCAAGCUCUUGAUUGAAGUCCCAGUAAACGGCGGCCGUAACUAUAACGGUCCUAAGGUAGCGAAAUUCCUUGUCGGGUAAGUUCCGACCUGCACGAAUGGCGUAACGAUGGCCACACUGUCUCCUCCCGAGACUCAGCGAAGUUGAAAUGUUUGUGAUGAUGCAAUCUCCCCGCGGAAAGACGGAAAGACCCCAUGAACCUUUACUGUAGCUUUGUAUUGGACUUUGAACAGAUCUGUGUAGGAUAGGUGGGAGGCUUUGAAGCAGGGUCGCUAGAUCUUGUGGAGCCAACGUUGAAAUACCACCCUGGUGUGUUUGAGGUUCUAACCUAGGUCCAUUAUCUGGAUCGGGGACAGUGCAUGGUAGGCAGUUUGACUGGGGCGGUCUCCUCCCAAAGCGUAACGGAGGAGUUCGAAGGUACGCUAGUUACGGUCGGACAUCGUGACGAUAGUGCUAUGGCAUAAGCGUGCUUAACUGCGAGACUGACAAGUCGAGCAGAUGCGAAAGCAGGACAUAGUGAUCCGGUGGUUCUGUAUGGAAGGGCCAUCGCUCAACGGAUAAAAGGUACUCUGGGGAUAACAGGCUGAUACCGCCCAAGAGUUCAUAUCGACGGCGGUGUUUGGCACCUCGAUGUCGGCUCAUCUCAUCCUGGGGCUGUAGCCGGUCCCAAGGGUAUGGCUGUUCGCCAUUUAAAGAGGUACGUGAGCUGGGUUUAAAACGUCGUGAGACAGUUUGGUCCCUAUCUUCCGUGGGCGCUGCAGAUUUGAGGAAGCCUGCUCCUAGUACGAGAGGACCGGAGUGGACGCACCUCUGGUGUAUCGGUUGUCACGCCAGUGGCAUUGCCGAGUAGCUAUGUGCGGAAGAGAUAACCGCUGAAAGCAUCUAAGCGGGAAACUCGUUCCAAGAUGAGAUCUGCCGGGGCCUUGAGCCCCCUAAAGAGUCGUUCAAGACCAGGACGUUGAUAGGUCGGGUGUGGAAGCGCAGUAAUGCGUUAAGCUAACCGAUACUAAUUGCUCGUGCGGCUUGACCC
rnacentral:rRNA from 1 species